UCUGGUUGAUCCUGCCAGUAGUUAUAUGCUUGUCUCAAAGAUUAAGCCAUGCAUGUCUAAGUACACACGAAUUAAAAGUGAAACCGCAAAAGGCUCAUUAUAUCAGUUAUGGUUCCUUAGAUCGUUAACAGUUACUUGGAUAACUGUGGUAAUUCUAGAGCUAAUACAUGCAAUUAAAACAUGAACCUUAUGGGACAUGUGCUUUUAUUAGGCUAAAACCAAGCGAUCGAAGAUCGUUAUAUUGGUUGAACUCUAGAUAACAUGCAGAUCGUAUGGUCUUGUACGACGACAGAUCUUUCAAAUGUCUGCCCUAUCAACUUUUGAUGGUAGUAUCUAGGACUACCAUGGUUGCAACGGGUAAGGGGAAUCAGGGUUCGAUUCCGGAGAGGGAGCCUGAAAACGGCUACCACAUCUAAGGAAGGCAGCAGGCGCGUAAAUUACCCACUCCCAGCUCGGGAGGUAGUGACGAAAAAUAAACAAUACAGGACUCAUAUCCGAGGCCCUGUAAUUGGAAUGAGUACACUUUAAAUCCUUUAACAAGGACCAAUUGGAGGGCAAGUCUGGUGCAGCAGCCGCGGUAAUUCCAGCUCAAUAGCGUAUAUUAAAGUUGUUGCGGUUAAAACGUUCGUAGUUGAACUUGUGCUUCAUACGGGUAGUACAACUUACAAUUGUGGUUAGUACUAUACCUUUAUGUAAGUUAAUAAUUACAGUUAAUCGAUUUGAUUUUGAAGAUCGCAAGCGACCGUUUAUUGCAAUUUAUCAUUUGAAACUAAAUCUAGCGUACAAAAUGUUUCCCUAAGUCCCUAGCAAUCAAGUGAAGUCGUCGGCAGCGGCGCAGCAGGCGUCGGCCGCGGCGCAGCGCAGAAGUGUCGAUGUCGCGCUUAACCGUUCGUUGGCGUUGAUGGCAGCGGAGACUAUGUGGAACCACAAGAUGUUAGAGAAUCAAUUGCAGGGCAAAUAAUCCUCCCCUCUUAAUUGACGCUUGUCCUCGAGCGGUCAUCAUAAGGAUGGGAUGUUUUUGAGUCGCAUCGUUGGUGGGGUGAUUCGUGGUAGUUUGGGCACAGCAUUAAUGGUUUGAAUGCCAGGUGUUUAUUGUUGCGUGCGUUCGAGGUUUGUGCAACUCGGAUGUGUUCUGCAUUGACAACUUGAUUGCUUCUAUUAAAAUUCUGGUUUUUACUAAUUACUAAUGAAUUUAUAUCUACAUAUUUUUAGACCAUUGGAACCUUUGCAGAAGGCAUUGAUUCCGUACAUUUCGUCUUUAAUUUGGUAAAUUUUAUUAUUAUUCAAAUUAAAUUAUUAUUUAUUUAUUAUUAUUAGUUUCCUUUACUGAUCAUGUUUUAAAAUAUAAGAAUAAGGAAUUAACUGAUUCAAUAUGGAGAUUUCAAUGGCAUUCAAAUUGUAGUUCGUUGUGUAAAGCGAGAACGUGUGAAAGUUUUAACA
rnacentral:rRNA from 1 species